UGGGUGUGGUUAUACCAGUCAGCUUCUUUGAAGAGGCAAAUAAUGCCCAUUACAAUUCCAUAGCCAUAAUUGAUGCUGAUGGGAGUGACCUUGGUCUCUAUAGGAAGUCUCAUAUUCCAGAUGGACCAGGUUACCAGGAAAAGUUCUACUUUAAUCCCGGUGACACUGGCUUCAAGGUUUUCCAAACUAAAUUUGCAAAAAUUGGAGUCGCAAUAUGCUGGGAUCAGUGGUUUCCAGAAGCAGCCCGAGCUAUGGCUCUGCAAGGUGCAGAAAUAUUGUUUUACCCUACUGCUAUUGGUUCUGAACCGCAAGAUGAAGGACUUGAUUCCUGUGAUCACUGGAAGCGAGUGAUGCAGGGGCAUGCUGGGGCUAACCUGGUACCUCUAGUAGCUUCGAACCGGAUUGGAAAGGAAAUAAUCCAGACAGAGCAUGGAGAUAGCAAGAUCACAUUUUAUGGGAACUCAUUCAUAGCCGGACCAACUGGGGAAAUUGUAGCGGCUGCUGAUGACAAAGAGGAAGCUGUUCUCAUUGCUAAGUUUGAUCUGGACAAAAUCAAAUCCAAGAGACAUAGUUGGGGGGUAUUCCGAGAUCGACGUCCAGAUUUGUACAAGGUUCUUUUGACAUUAGAUGGCAGUAAACCCUCAGUGUGAUUUUGUGCUGCUUAUUACAAUUUCACAAUGCUACUUUUUUGUAACCAUUAAAUAUCAUAAAAAAUUCAUGGUUGGGAAAAUGUUUUANGUGGAAUGAGAAGUUCAUAUAUGUUUGAAGGAUGAUCAAAGAACAAUUUUUUGGGCGCG
rnacentral:misc_RNA from 1 species